AGGGGUUGUUCUUCGGUUGUUUGCACACUGCGCCAGUGACUUUGUGAGAUCCAACUUAUUGAAUUUAUAUAGUAGCUGUGGGUCGAUAGGGUGUGUUGAGUUGUAUUGAGGAGCCACAGGUCUUGAUCUUGUUAAAGGCCGACUUUGGGAGGCCUCUUGGGUUUGGUUUAGCACCAGGUACGGUUGUUCCUUGGAUCCACUUAAUUCACUUCGUUUAGAGUCCCAUCCUCGAGGGUCCUGUUCCAGGGAACUUUCCCCUCGCUUUGUAAUCCGUGCAUCUGUUGGUUCAUUUCGUAUAACAGACCAAAGCCCAUGUCUCCUUAAGGCUGACAAAUCUCCAGACAUGCUUCCAGUGAAUUCAGUGAAUUCAGAUUUGGAAGCCAAACAUUUGACAGGACAUUCUUCCACCUGUGACUUCUUACUUUUAGAGUCGGUUGUGAAAUUAUUCCACGUUUCAGGAACACUUUUGGUCAAUGUACACGUUGUGUUCUCUAGAUAGUUUUCAUACUUCUUUUUGAGUCUGAGGUUUGAUGAACUGUGGGGUCCAAUAUUCAGUGGAUCACAUUCUUUCCCAACAUCGUCUUCAGAGUCUGAUUGAGUGUAUUUCCUUUCUCCCGUUUGAAGGUCUGUUUUAUCAACAUUUUCCUUCGUAAUUUCUGGUUUCUCAAGAAAAAAUAAUCCAUUAUCCUUUUCUUUGGUGAAACCUAUUUUGCAUUGCAAUGGCCAAAAGUUAUUUGGUGUCAUAUCACAGACAGUGUGAUGACCAGACUCCUUGUUGAAGGCCUUCCUGGAUGCUCCCCUACCACCUUCCAAUCGAGUAAAGUUCACCAGCGUGUCUUGGUCCAGAACGUCUUGUGUUGUUCCCACUGGGGACCAUCGUUUGGUAGGCACUGGCAGGUCUCUGGUGUUAGAGUUCACAAUGGAUUGAACUCUCCUUUUCUCUGCUACAACCGGGGUCGUCUUGCGUUUUGCUCCAUGGCUCCCCGGCAGCAUCAUUUUACACAGCAGGGUUGGAGAGAGAUUAGGUCGGAUUAUAGGGACGGACAGAGUUGGAGAUUUGCUUGGUUUUGGUCCGGUCACAGUGGGUGAAGGAGAAGAAUGGCUCUGUGGGUCUGGGGCAGUAAGCCAGCUGUUUGGCUUCGGCCUCACGGCGGGGGCAGUAGAAGGAGGAUUAGGUUUCGAGGCAGGAGAAAGAACACAGAUGCCAGGCUUUUGAGAAACUGCUGGAGAGGUGUGUGAUUUGGACCUUGUCCUGGGAAGAGUCGAAGCUCUAUUCUCAAUGUUCUUACGUUCGUCCAAAUAUGUCUGAGAAUUCUUUAUUGAAACAGAGAUGGAUUCUUUAGUGGAACGGAUCAACUCAAAACAUCUGGAACUUUUUGAGGGAAAAGAGAAAAAAACAAGUUUGGUUUUGUUCAUCAAUACAUGAAAAAUACGUUACGUUUAAAAUGUGGCUGAAAAUGGAGAGAGCGGAGUAUACCUGUCAUGAGUUGAAGAAAACGGUCUUAGAUGGUGUCUUUCUGACACAAGUCCAGCAUCCUGAAAAGAGGGGAGUUGGAUGGCUUGCUUUUUGAUGAGCGGCGAGGAGAGAGGAAAGGGAAGGGCUGUCUCGCUCUACGUUGGACUGGCAGGGCCUGUCAGGAAGACAAGGAGACCACCACAAGCAGUGGGAGUUCCUGGCCAUGGAGCGGCAUUCCUCCCAUUCCUCCUGCUCUGAAGCCGCUCUGUCAGACUCACCCAUCCCACCAGGUCCAUCGUGUCCCUCCACCACCCCCUUCAAUCAGUUGUCCCUGUCCAUCUUGUUUGUGUGUUGUUGUUGUUUUCUUCUUCUCAGAUAAAGUGUUUCAUUCAGACGUGGAAAGAAAAGCAGCAGACGAAUAAGCAGAACUGAGAGCAAGAUGGUUGUGUUUGCACUUUAUUUUCAAAUGAACGUGGGAAACGUCUGGGUGUAAUGGGCUGCAGGAGGGAAUUGUAACAUGUUUUUUUGUCUGAAAUUGUAUUGCUCCAGCCAGGUUUGAAAAUACUUUUACAUUCUUUUUUAUUUUAAUUUUGGCACUCUUAUCACACUAUUAUUGAUCAUUUAUGUUUGGUAUGAAAACACUAUUAUUGAUAAAUGAUCAUGUUUUGUAUUGAACCACUAUUGUUGAUAAACAAUCUUAUGUAUUGAAUCUCUAUUAUCGAUAAACAAGGUUUUGCAUUGAAAUAAUAUUGUUGAUAAACAAUGACGUUUUGUAUUGAACCCUAUUAUAGAUAAAUUAAACUCUUAUUGCAACAGUAACAAUACACA